rnacentral:rRNA from 1 species
ACUUGAAUGAUUGAUUUAAUUUGUGAUUUAUUGUAAUAAUGAUUGAAUUAGUAUCUUAGUUAAUUAAGUCAUAGGAACUCGGCAAGUUCAAUGCCCGCCUGUUUAACAAAAACAUGUCCUUUUGUUUAUUUAUUUAAGGUCUGACCUGCCCAAUGAGGAAUUGAAUGGCCGCAGUAUUUUAACUGUGCUAAGGUAGCAUAAUCAUUUGUCUUUUAAUUGAGGGCUGGAAUGAAGGGUUGGACGAGGUAUUAACUUUCUUUGAUUUAAUGAGGAGAAUUUAAUUUUUGAGUUAAAAAGCUUAAAUUUAUUUGUGGGACGAGAAGACCCUAUAGAUCUUUAUAGUUUUAUAUUUUAAUAAUU